AAAACGAAAAAAAAAAAAAAUUGAGAAAGAGAGAGACGAAGCGGAGAACUCUAAUGGAGAACUUUAGCUCAGUAGUAGUGGAGGAACCUGGAUACUCCGAUUCAUUAUCUCCCAUUUCCGAACCACCAGAUAUUAGGAAUUGGUUUCCCAGUUAUGUCUAUGAAUCGGUACCAUCAUGUUCUUCAAUCAACGACAUUGGAAACGAAGUCGAUGU